rnacentral:rRNA from 1 species
CAGUAGCCGCGGUAAUACGAAGGUCCCGAGCGUUGUUCGGAAUCACUGGGCGUAAAGGGAGCGUAGGCGGUAUGGUAAGUCAGAUGUGAAAUCCCGGGGCUCAACCCCGGAACUGCAUCCGAUACUGCCGUGCUAGAGGACUGGAGAGGCAACUGGAAUUCUCGGUGUAGCAGUGAAAUGCGUGGAGAUCGAGAGGAACACUCGUGGCGAAAGCGAGUUGCUGGACAGUAUCUGACGCUGAGGCUCGAAGGCCAGGGUAGCGAAAGGGAUUAGAUACCCCAGUAGUCCCUGUCUCUUAUAC